GUAUGCUUAGGGCAGCCUGCUUGGUCUGAUACUGGCUCUCAAGGACGAGGUCAGGCAGACGGAACAAGGACACUGCCCACAGGCUGCAGUGUGUGGGAAGGGGGGCGGGUGGAGACCGGAGGAGAGAAGAGGCUGAAAGCUAGCUCUAGUUCUGUGCCAGGGAAUGCGUGGUCUUCUUUGGUCCUAACCCCCACAGCAACCUGGCUAGGUAAUUAUUGCUAUUUUCUUUUUACAAAAGGUGAAACUGAGUCUCUGCCUGGCUUUAAAGUCCUUGCUGUUUCAUGUAUACACUUCUCUCACAUGGAAGGAAGAGUUCAAUUGCCAAGCUGGAAAGAGGUGGUGAUGCUCAGUGGAGAGUGCCUGGUUUCUAGCUCCAACCAUGUGACUUCAGCAGGUGCUCCCCACCAUCCCAUCCCCACGCAAAGAUCUGGCUUCCAGCUCCAACACUGCCACCAGAUGGCCAACUGUUCUUAGGCCAGUGGUCUAACCUCUCUGGGCUUCAGCUUCAUCAUCCCUUGUUAGAUGUGCUCUGCCUACCUCACGGGACUGGACUGCUGAGUGGAACAAAUGAGGUAAGGAUAUAAGAAUUUUUUGGAGAAUUAAAAACACAGAGCUAAAGUCAAAAAGAGUCAAAAGCAAUAAACUCAGGACUGGCCUAAGAUAAAAGGUGAAA
rnacentral:lncRNA from 1 species